rnacentral:rRNA from 1 species
CCAAUAGCGUAUAUUAAAGUUGUUGCAGUUAAAAAGCUCGUAGUUGAAUUUCGGAAUUUGUCGGUUGGUCGGGCUUCACUGUCCGCACUGGCCUGAUAGAUUCCUACCUUCUGAAUAACCAGCAUGCUAUUAAUUUAGUGCGUUGGGGAAGCAGAGCUAUUACCUUGAAAAAAUUAGAGUGCUAAAAGCAGGCUUAUGCUUGAAUAGAUUAGCAUGGAAUAAUAAAAUAGGACGGCUUGGUUCUAUUUUGUUGGUUUCUAGGAUCACCGUAAUGAUUAAUAGGGAUAGUUGGGGGCAUUAGUAUUCAAUUGUCAGAGGUGAAAUUCUUGGAUUUAUUGAAGACUAACUUCUGCGAAAGCAUUUGCCAAGGAUGUUUUCAUUAAUCAAGAACGAAAGUUAGGGGAUCGAAGACGAUCAGAUACCGUCGUAGUCUUAACCAUAAACUAUGCCGACUAGGGAUCGGACGAUGUUAAUUUUUUAAUGACUCGUUCGGCGCCUUACG